rnacentral:lncRNA from 1 species
AUGUCCUCCUCCCACACGGCUGCCCACUCGCGAGGUGCACAGGGACCUUCCCUGGGUGACGCCAGGCCCACCCACAGACGCUCCCCUCCGGGGGGGCCCCCGCUGCCUCCAGGGGUGCGGCUGGCCCCACCGUGUCCCCGGGGUGGAGGUGGGUGGCCUGGGUCACAGCCAGCUCCCACGGGCACGGGAGCCCCAGAAAGCUGCUGGGACUUCCAAAGGGAGCAGCCUGGGCCGCCUCCCUCCUGGGCCGCAGGCGGGAGCCACGCCGCCUUCCAGGAAGGGGUACGUCCUGUUCCCUGUGCCCUGGCUGAAAACAGCCGGAUGGACACCAGCAGCGGUGCCAAGGCCACUGCCCAGCCAGCUGGUGCCGCCGGAGGAACACCCGCAGGGGCUGCCUGGGGCGCCGGGGUCUCCGGCGUCUCUCGGAGCCAGAGGUGCACCCGGCAGCUCAGGGCCAGCCUGCAGGGCGCGGGGGCGGGGGUGGGGCCGGUGAGUGGGGGUGCUGGAGGUGGUGUGAGGCCCCUGCUCCCGUGGGUGCCCUCGUCCCCAGGCAGCCUGGCCGCCGGCUGUCCGGUCCUCAGGAGCACCUGCACAUGGACUGCACCUGCCCUGCCCCUACGCUGUGGCCCCCGGAAGGGCCGUCCACCUCCCUCAGCCCGCGGGACUGCCCACCCCCAGGGCUUCCGUUCCCUCCUCUGCCCACUGCUGGGCCUCCCUCGGCCACUGGGGGCCUGCCUCUCACCCCCGGGCUCAGGGAGGCCCCGCCCUGGCUCGGCAGAGCAGCCAGAGCUGCCCUUGUUCAGUGAGCCGCGUCAUGCACGGUGUCAGGGUCGCAGUCACUUCCCGUCGCCCCGUCUGCAUUCUGACGACAGUUCCACCGAUCGAUACGGAUCCACACGCGGCCGCACACUGCAGCCCGAGCCUGAGUCAGAUCUCCUCGGUCUCCUUGACGGCCCCUCUCUGCCAGGAUCCCCCCAGGAUGCCAUGCGGCUUCAAGUCCUCCCGCCCCCAUACCCCAGGACCCUCCUGGCUGGGACCGUCUCUCAGACCCCUGUUUCAGGGAGCCUGGGCAGUCUGCAGGAGGCUGCCCGCCGUGUGGCAGGAGCGCAUGUCCACCCCGUGUGGCUGUCCACCUGCGGGGGCAGUACCACUGCACUCCGCUGGCCCUGCUGUCCACCUGCCAGGGGGUGGGGCCGCUGGCCCGGGCGAGUGGCCGAGGGUGGCCCGGACACAUGA